GCCUUCGUGGUGUAGUGGUCAGCACGCUCGAGGCGUAACCGAGAGGUCCGUGGUUCGAUUCCCGGCGAAGGCG
rfam:Stegodyphus mimosarum contig29851, whole genome shotgun sequence.